rnacentral:lncRNA from 1 species
UUUAGGACCUAGCCCUUCUCUUCUUCUCUCCACUCUAACCCAAGUCAAACUUAUUUUAUGUGAACAUUGACAUUGUUUUCAAAAUUAGAAACCUAGGCACCAUGUAACACCCCUUUUUCUACCCCAAAAUACUUAACAUAUAAUCAGAGUAAAUAAGCACACAUAUAAACAAAAGGGCGUCACAUCGACGUUUUCAAAAACUAAAAGCUUUCAAAAACCAACGUCAUUUAUCAUCAAUAUACAAUACACCUGGUCAUUUAAGAUAACACAUUUC